rnacentral:rRNA from 1 species
GAUGAACGCUGGCGGCGUGCCUAAUACAUGCAAGUCGAGCGAACGGACGAGAAGCUUGCUUCUCUGAUGUUAGCGGCGGACGGGUGAGUAACACGUGGAUAACCUACCUAUAAGACUGGGAUAACUUCGGGAAACCGGAGCUAAUACCGGAUAAUAUUUUGAACCGCAUGGUUCAAAAGUGAAAGACGGUCUUGCUGUCACUUAUAGAUGGAUCCGCGCUGCAUUAGCUAGUUGGUAAGGUAACGGCUUACCAAGGCAACGAUGCAUAGCCGACCUGAGAGGGUGAUCGGCCACACUGGAACGGAGACACGGUCCAGACUCCUACGGGAGGCAGCAGUAGGGAAUCUUCCGCAAUGGGCGAAAGCCUGACGGAGCAACGCCGCGUGAGUGAUGAAGGUCUUCGGAUCGUAAAACUCUGUUAUGAGGGAAGAACAUAUGUGUAAGUAACUGUGCACAUCUUGACGGUACCUAAUCAGAAAGCCACGGCUAACUACGUG